rnacentral:tRNA from 1 species
GUAGCCGUAGCUCAGUUGGUUAGAGCAUCAGAUUGUGGUUCUGAGGGUCGCGGGUUCGAGCCCCGUUGGUUACC